AAGACAUCUCAUCAGGAUGAACUGGGGCAAGGCAGCCUCCAGAAACACACCUGGGUCUCUGGGCAGUCAUCUGCAGGCGAUUGCCUCCAGGUGUUUGCCAGUGGGAACCCAUUGAAAGUCGAUGCAAUUUAGAGCAAUUUCUCUGGCAGUGGAAAUUAACCUGCAGGAAUCUGCCGGCAACAGGUGUAUUUUAGGGCAGACAUACCAGCGUCCUGCACUGUGGAGACAGGACUUUGACUACCAGGUGUAGUGCAGAAGGCUGGAUAAUUGGAGGAGGCAGAAAAUUAGUGCAGAGAAGAUGGCCAAAUUGCAGGUCAGCAUGGUUUGGUGUAAUUAUUGGUUAACCCUCUCCUGUCUGUUAACCAAAAACUACUUGUGUGUUUGAGGAACCAGGAAAUCUGCACUGAAGGGACAAGAAUUAUCACUCCCUGCCCAAGCCAACUGAAUUUUUUGAUAGCUAAGGUUUUCAGCAAAUUGUUUUUGGUUUAGUGUUUGAUACUCAGACGAUUGCCAGGAAAACACAGGAAGAAGUGAAUUUUAAGUGCUUGAAAGCCUCCUGACUCAGAAACAAACCUAAUUUUACCUAGUGUGUUUGCCACUUUUUAUCUCUUUUGAAAAGACUUAUAGGGAGGAAUGUACAUAAUCAGGAAAGGGCAUCUAUGCUCUGUACCUCCGAUUCUCCUUGACAGAUGCAAAAAGCUAAUUGGUAUUAGCAAAUGUGCCCAUUGAAAGCAAGCAUAUUUUAGUAACACAAGUGUACACUGUAGUGAUGGUUUGGUUAUGCUAAGUAGAAGAUACAGAUUUGUAAUGCCUAAAUUCUCACACUUCUAAUCCUACAGUCCAAUUAUUCUGGCAUUUGCUACAAUGUGCUCUGAAGAAAUGGAUUGGAAAUAAACAAAUAAAUAAAUAAAUAAAUAAUUCCACAGGAGGAAAAAAAUGCGUUCUGAAAGGAUCAGGAUUUUCAAAGCCCCCAAGCUUCAACAUAUCCGAGGAUCGAAGGCCUGAAUAAAGUGGCAUCACAGAAGUGUGAGAACAGCCUUUCCCCAUUCUCCGGAGUGGAUCCAUGAGCCAGGAGUCAGGCCUGCACUUUGAGGAGCGGAAGUGCUUUUGUGAGGACAAGCAAGAAUGUCUUGUAAUUUCAACUACCCUUAAAGCUGUUUCAGGGUUCCCUGAUAAUGAACUAACUGAUACUGGGACUUCCCUUCUCCAUCCCCCAAAGAAAAGCUGCGUUCCAACUCAACACCUCAUAGAACCAGAGCCCCCUAAUAUCCCUAGGUGUGGGCAGCUGGCAUUCCCCAACAUUCCCCUAACACCCAGCACCUAAGCUAAGAAUGCUUGGGGCCUGAACCCCAAAUGUUUAUUCAGCCAUGUAAAGCCACUUGCACACUUGUCCUAUAAAAAAGGAAAGCAACAGAAUGUUUUUCUCCUCUUGGAGCAGAGCCCCACAGUGAAUCUAGCAAUGCACUGGCUCAAACAUGCCCCCUUUUCAGCAGCAUGCUGAAAGAAAUAGGAUCCAUGCGUCAGCUGGAAUUUCUAUCUCUGAGUUUCUACCUAAACUAAGUGAUACUUUCUGUUAUUCCCAGUCACAUCAAAACAAAUGUGAGAUUCAAAUUUUAAACUGGGCUAUACUGUAACAAAUUAGACUUGACUCUUUUUGUUUUGUUUUGUUUAAAUAACAGAAAGUGACUAGAAAACUAUAGGAUCCACCUAAGAUGCUAAGACAUGGCAAAGUGAGACCAAACAUAGCACAACAAAUAGUUGGAGACAAAAUAAAAGCAUUUUACAUUUGUGCACUACAAUGUUCAGGCUAUUCAACACACUGAUUUCACACAUACAGUCCCAUUUAUUGCCAACAAUAACCCUGCAAAGUAGGUACUAUUAUUGGGCACAUUUUACAUAUAAAACGACUUAAAAUUAGAGGAGGUAGUAUAUAUUUUCCUAAUUUUUGGCAGCCCAGCAUCUAAAGCCCUUUUCUAUGCUUGAAGAAUGCCCUGCCUUAUGAGUGAGUCUUGCUGGAAAGAAGAGACCAGCUUCCAAUAUAAAAACUGAAAAUACCAAAUACUUUUCCCAUAUUCCCUGAUAACUAUCACACUGACAUUAGAAGAGUCUCCACCAACAGAUGUGAGCAUGCCAGUUUUCCCCAGAAUCUAAAGAUACAAAGAAAGAGGAUUUUUGUGGGAAACCACUCUGGUGAAAAUGCCAGUGGAAGUCCUACACUGAACCCGAUUUCCAGUGGCAAGAAUUUUAGUGGCUCCAGCAGCGAUGCCCAGUGCUCCGUGACUAUGGGUUCACAAUGUACACAAACUGGUUGGGCCACUGCAGAUGAAAGAGAUGGCUUCAAGUGCUCAGUUAUGUGUCUUGAUUGGUAAUGUGGCCAUUGGCUGGGUAAUGUCCACACUGCUUCUCUGGCCCUUUUGAAGUGUCUGUUAGCCAUAAUAACUAGAUUUAUUUUCUGAUUAAAUUAGCUAGAAUUAGGUUCUGACUGACUUAGGAUAAGUAAUUGCUCUCUGAUCACACAUAGAGCAAAUGAUGGAGCUGGAAUUCCAGUCUUCACUAGGUUAUACUGAAUGAUGAGAUAAUGUUAUGGGCUGAAUUCAUGUGUUGAAGUCCUCAUCUCCAGAACCUCAGAAUGUCUGUAUUUGGAGAAGAGUUUUUAAUGUUGUAAUUCAGUGAAAGUGAGGUCAGUAGGGUGGCUAUAAUUCAAUAUGACCUGAAUCCUUACGAGAAUGAAAAUCUGGACACAGAAAUCCGUGUGGGAGGCCAUGUGAAGACACGGAGAAAGCAUCCAUCUGUGAGCCAAAGAGAGAGGCCUCAGAAGAAACCACCCCUGCAGACACCUUGUAAUUGGACGUCUAGCCUUCAGAACUGUGAAACAGGAAAUUUCUGUUAUUUAAGCCACCCAGUCUAUGGUACUUUGUUAUGGCAGUCCUAAUAAACUAAUACCAGGAAUGAGGAAUACGAAAGAAUUCAAGAUGAUCUCAAAGUUGCUCAAUGAGGUGACUUUAGAAAAGAUGAAGGGUAUGAGAGGAGUAGCCAUUGCAGAAGGAGAACAAGAUCAUGAAUUCAAUUCAGAAAACUUUGAUUUUGAGACCUCUGCAGGAGAAAAUAAGAGAAAGCUUCAAAGGCCUAGCUUCCUUUAUAGAGUCCUGGGAGAGACCUAAAGUUGAGGAAUAGAGAGAAAAGGCACCUCUGGAUACUCACUGGCAUUGGAUCCAGCUCUGAGUUGCUUGCUUUCUGGGCUUCAGAAUGACAAAGCAGGUUUAUGCACAGAGUUUUUCAAUAAGCAAGUCCCCACUGAAGGUCACAGGCCUAUUUCAGCAGUGGGAGAAACCACAGUCAGCAGUAUUGGGCCAUGCAAGUGAAGGGUUGUUCACUGGAGAGGUUUGUUACCUUAUUGGGAAGAUGAAGUUUUCAUCCAGCAUUAAGCCUAUGGCUAUAAUUCAGGGAUGAGACAAGGGUGUUUGCAUUUGUUAGCAUGAAGACAAACAAAUCCAACACCCUUAGGUCAGAAUUUCAGCUUAACAUGGUAUCUUGUGCUUGAAUAUCCCUUGCAACCUCUCCUGACUUUCCACUUUCCAAAGUGAGUCUUUUAAAAUGCUCACGUUUUGGCUCACACCUGUAAUCCCAGCACUUUGGGAGGCCGAGGCGGGCGGAUCACGAGAUCAGGAGAUCAAGACCACGGUGAAACCCCGUCUCUACUAAAAUACAAAAAAUUAACCGGGCGUGGUGGUGGGCUCCUGUAGUCCCAGCUACUCGGGAGGCUGAGGCAGGAGAAUGACGUGAACCCCGAAGGCGGAGCUUGCAGUGAGCCGAGAUUUCGCCACUGCACUCCAGCCUGGGCGACACUGCGAGACUCCGUCUCAAAAAAAAAAAAAAAAAAAAAAAAAAAAAGGCCACGUUUAUUGGUCUUAUGCCUAUAAAAAAAGUCUAUGUGGACAACCACUCAUUGAUUCAAUAAAUAAUGCUUAAGUGCUUACUCUGUGCCAGGAUUCUGAAAGGCACUGUGGGUAAAUGGUAGGCAAAUCUAAACCUGGUCCUGCCUUCAGAGAGUCUACUGUUUGAACGGAAAAAGAAGAGAAUGAGGCCAAACAAGAGGUUGUUCACCUGAGGAAAUGGAUGGGAGCUGGGCAAGCCUACCUGGCAGAGGCUCACCUGGCUGAGUACCUAUGAAAUUGCCAUGGAUGAUCUCAAAAUUCAAAGAAAAGUCCAGUGCAUAUAAAUAAAAACCUUGAAAACACAAAUUCAUAGGCAAAAGGCUGAGAGGCCACAUAAAUUACUUUUAGUGAAAACAACAAAUAAUAUUAGUAUUAUUUCUGUUUCAGUAUUCAAGGCAGUGGUGAUGGGAACUUGAGGGCAUGAGAAUCAGGGCAAAGAGAAUUACUGAAAGAGUAAAACUAUCUUAAAGAUGUGAGGUUGGCCACUGAUGGAGAGGACAAGCAGGACAGGGAUCGGGGGACCAAAGUCCAGCUGCACUGACUCCAUUCAGCUCUGCUCUGUUCACCCUCAUCCCAAACCUGUCCCCAUCCCCAGACAAAUAGAAGCUGUGGACAAAGAUUGUUUUUGCCCUCCACAUCUCCAAUACUCUGUUUUCAAAUGACUGCAACCAACCCAACAAAAGAACUCACUUAACAUAUUAGUAGUAUCUUAAAUGAUGCAAUUUUAUCUUGUCCAUGAAAUAGCUUCAAUUAAAACAAAUUAUCUCUUUCCAUUCAUAGCUUAAUUCAUAUAGCACAUCUGAUAGAGCCUUUUUAAAUGCUCACUUUUAUUGGUCUUAUUUCAAAAUUAAUUCAUGUUUAUAGUCUAGCAUUUAGAAAAUUCCAAGGCAAAGCAGGCUACAUUUGUGUGUUUCCUCUUGGUGUCUCCAGUGCCCCAUGCCGCCACUGCACAGAGGACAUUAAGCAUUGAACACAGAGAACUAAACCACUUAAGGAACCACCCAUAAUCUCAAUACCAAUAGAUACUUACCCUCACUUUUUUGAUAUGUUUUUUCCAGUCACUUGUGUAUGUAAGCAUACAUACAAAAACAGGUGUGUGUGUGUGUGUAAAAAUGUGUGUUUACAGAGUUCGUUUUACAGGAAAGCACAAAGUCAGAUAGUUGUUAUCGGGCACCUAUGGGAAAUGUCAUAGGAGACUAAAGAUGAGACGAAAACUUUGGGACCACCACUCUUAAUCAUCCUAAUACUUGAUCUUUCCAUGGCUACCCUGAGAUAGAAUAAAUGGCUUUUGUAAAACAACUUAAACCUCAUCUCCUUAAUUGAGGUAUCCUGCUUUCUUACUCUUAUUUACGUGUCUAAGUCAGGGAGAAACAUCCCAUUAUGUCACAAAUAAGAUUAAAGGUAGUUGUAAUUAAAUUUCACCAUGUGCCCUGAGUUUUCCCACCUGAGAAUUAUAAGAAAAAAAUCAAAAGGUCUUCUCCUCUUACUAGACUACCCACCAAAUGGUCAUUACAUUUUCCUGUAGGCUGCAGAUAAAAUCUCUCUAUCAUAAGUCUCCCAAUCACCAAGUGAGAAAACACCACUCUGGGGUCCAGGGAUGUGUAGGCAAUUGAAGAGUUUCUCUUUUAAGAAUGGCAGCUCAUUAGGGUAAGUGUCCAAGAACAUAAUGAAAAAAUUGUGGUAUAUUUAUACUGGGGGAUAUGCCAGAUUAAAAAACGAACACAUUUGAGUUACAGAUAGCAACAUGGAUAAAUCUCUAAUGCAGAAUUUUAAUAAGAAAAAGGCAUAUUGCAGAAUUAUAGGUGCAGUAUAAUACCAUGUAUAUAAAGUUUAAACACAAAAACAUGCUAUAUAUCUUUUAUGGAUAUAUCCUUGUGCAGUAAAAAAUAUAAAAUAUGCAUAAGAAUGACAAAGACAAAUUUUAGAGGAUUUAUUCCCUUAGGGAGAAAAGGAAACGGCAUCACAAGGAUUACAAGAUUUGAAUUGAAUCUACAAUAUUUUAUUCCUUAAGCUGAGUAGCGGGUACAUGGGUGUUCAUAUACUCAAAACCAUUUUUGGCACAUGAAAUAUUUUAAAAUUUUUUAAAAAGCUAGAUAGUAUGAUUGACAUCUUCAGAUACUUGAAGAUCUGGCAUGUUGAUGAUGGAAAGUAUCCUAUGACUAAGUAGGUAAAGCUAUUAUGAAGGCAAAUUUUAGGUCAUUCUUAGGAAAAACCUAAAAGGGCUGUCUAAAAAUGAACAGUGUCUUCUACAUGAUUAAGGAGUAAAACAGAGUUAAGGUCUUCGGAGGUAGCAAGUCACAGUGCAAGUAGAGUUCACUUGUCUUUGUCUUGAAAGCAAAGAUUUCUUUUCUCUUGCAAAAUUCCCGGGACAUAUCCUGAUAAAGCUUUACAUCUCAGCAGCAUCACUCUGAUUGCUCUUUUUUCAGUUGGUGUCAUUGGAAGCCCCUAAACCCUAUUUAACUUCAGUGCCAUUGACUGGCACUUCCUGCCACUUACAUCUUUGCCAUUUGGCAGUGCCUGGGUUGGACAGAUCUGCCACCUGGUUCUGGUUCUGCAUUAUUGUCAUUCCUUGUGCCAGUCAUAAGGAUUCACUGGCACCCCUCUGAGAUUAGGAGUUCUCCAGGUCUGGAGAUAUUAAAAAAGAGAGAGAUGGUCAGCGAUGCUAUAGAAGGGAUUUUAGUAGUCUCUGGUAUGCUGGAGCACAUAACCUUUGAGUAUGGAUUUCCAUAUUCAUUUAUUCAAGAAAUGUUUAGUGAGUGUUUACUUUGUGCAAAGCACCUUGCUCGUUAAGCUUCUAUGGCUCUAGAAUUUGUCUUUGAAAAUGCGUCUCUAACUUUACAGAAAUGAAAAUUGAGACAUGAUGGGAAAACUUAUUUUAAGCAAACAAUAAGGCAGGCAGGCAGGCUGUGGUUUGCAGACCGACCACUUCUAGCCUUAUUGCCAAGAGCACUACGAGAGUCACAGGAACAUUUUGGAGAUAAUGUUACAUUCACAGACUUGUACAUGUCUUACAGUGAAAGACACCCCAGAGGUUAUCCAAUUCAAAUACUUCAUUUUACAGACGAGGAAACAAAAGCCUGGGGAGGUAUGUGGCUAACUGAUUGCAGAAUCUAUUCUCAGAUAUGGUAUUUCCUUCCCAACCUUGAAAGUUGUGUUCCUGAAAACCUCCAUGGAAGGAGAAAUUACACUUGAGGAACUUACGACCUUAGGAAGAAAAUAGAGUUUGGGGAGUAAGAUAGUGAGUGAAUCUGAGAAAGUUAUCAUCAUUGUUUUAUAUCUACUAAUAAAACAAUGUAGGUACCAUUGAUACCCACUUUAUUUUAUGCCGAACGCAUUUGUAAUGGUGAAUCUUGUACAGGUGAUUUUAUUUACUUCUUAGAAUUCCUUAUUAACACUUCUCUAGGCUCUCUAUACACAAUUUUUGUAAAACUUCUUGUGAGUCAUUGCCUUUUUGUGUAAAUACUGGUUACAAUGGAUUGUUUUCUGUUUCAGGUCCUGUUGUCUCUGCCUUUUUGCAUCUUUGACAUUAUCAUUGUAACUUAUAACUUCUAACCUCUACUCUGACUCAACUUGGUUGUUUCCUGAUUCCUCUCUCUCCUUCUUGCUGUUCCUUCUCUCUGCUGUCCUUUAACUGUAGCUGCUCACCAGGACUAUGCUGUAAACUUUCACCUCCUCUCACUGUUUACUCUACCUAUGUAACUAUCAUGUUUGAUAAUGAGGUCCUGCUGAAUAAGCCUGUUUGCUGUCUUUCCAGGCUGUGCUUUCCCACUCCUGCAGCUACUGCCUUAAUUCAGGUUAUCACUGUCUCUCACUAGGACCCCUGCACUAAUCUCCUUGAUUGGUCAAAGGUUUCAUUAUUUGCAUUGUGCUCUGAGUGAAAUUUUCUUAUGACGGCUUACAGUUCCCAGUGGCUGCAUGUGCCUAUAGAACACUAACUUCCUAAGCAUUUCAUCCAAGGCCCUCCACCUUAGCUCUUGUACCCUUUACUCCAGCCAUAUUUAUUGACCCUACUUGAUGGCCUAAUGUACCAGACUAUUUGGCAUCUUCAUGCCUUUGUGAACUGACUUUUCUUCAUCAGGAAUGCCCUUCACUCUGCCCCUCUCACGCUACCCAUUUCCCCUCCCACGUGCAAUCACCUGCCUGGUGAACAUCUACUCUUCCUCGAAAACUUUGCUCAUACCAUCACCUCUCCCUUGGAGGUACCACUUCCUACUCCUACUUUCUGCUCAUCUCGUACCUCAUUAAAGAGAAUAGGAGGUUCCCACCACAAAAUCUGAAAGCCUCCUGCCACAAAACCUGUCUUCUUCCCUCUGUGCAACUGAAUGUGACUCCUUGUAAUCAAAUGCUCAUCCCUCAAUUCAUGUUGGGAAUCCCAUCUCUCUCACUUUCUCAAGAAGUUCAAUGCUUCUGUCAGACUGUCUCCAGUCAAUUAUUCCCAUCAGCAUAUAAACAUAAUCCAGUAUUACUGUCCUAACCAAUACUCCAUAUUGAUCCACAUCCCUUUCCAGCUACCAUUCUUUUCUGUCUUUCACAAUAAAAUUCCAUAAAAUAGUUGUGUACACACAGCACUUUUAUGUUUUCACUUCACAGUCACUUUGGAAUUCACUUCAAAUUGGCAUUCACCCACAUGACCCAGUUGGUCACUAAUGACCUUUAUAGUGCUAUGUCCACAUUUUCAUCUCACUAGAACUUUCAGCAACAUCCAACAAUUGACCAUUCUCUUCUCAAAAUUGGCCAUUCUCUUCUUGAAAUUGUUCUUGGCUUACAUGAUUCCAUAUUUCCCUGGUCUUUUAUCUGCUUCUCUACCUGCUCCUCCUAAGCCUCUGUUGUGUCUUUUCUUCCACUUUCUAUAAUACCUCUAAGUAUUGAAUUUCCUCAGUAUUCUGCUCUGAACCCCAUGCCUUAUGUUUCCAUAAAUAAUCUCAUUCAUCCUCAUGGCUUAAAAUACCAAUUCCAAGCCAAUGACUCCUAUGUCUGUAUCUCUAGUCCUAACCUCUCCUCUGACCUCCUGACUUAUACUCUUGUCUUUAUAACACCCACUUAUGAAUGCUUCAUGGACAUCUCACAUAAAUAUAUCCAAGACUGCAUUUUUAUUUCCCUCUGAAAACCUAGUCCUCCUUCCAUCCUCCCCACCUCCCUUUUUUGGCAACAUUAUCCACGCUGUUGAUCAGGUCUGGAUCCUGGGAGUCACUAAUUAUUUCUCCCUGUAUUUCUUCCUCUAGUCCAAUUCGUCACUAAGUCUGAUCAUCUGUCUCCUAAAUGCAGCAUAAGGAGAUCCACUUUUCUUUAUCGUUACUGCCACAUUGUAGUUUGAUCUACUAUUAUUUUAAACUUAACAACCACAAUACCUUCAAACUGAUCUCCAUGCACACAGAACACAGUGACUCUCAUCCUUAAUUGAAUCUCUACACAGCCACAGAAACAGUCUUUCUUGAAACAUAAAUCCCAGCAUGACACUGCCUGACAUGCAAUCUCUCUUUGCACUUUGUCUUAGUCCAGGUACAUCAGUGUUGCUAUAAGUCCUGUUGGUCAGCCUCCUGCCCCGUACCCUAAGCUCAUCUUACAUCAGCGAGUCCUCACUCUCCACUCUCUAGACUGACUCCUGAUGUUUUCUCAAGCAAGUUGAUUUCUUUCUCAUCUUAAUCCUUCACAGGUGGUACAUAGUGCUUCCCGAGUUUAGAUCUCCACUCUCCCUUAUGUUCUCAUAAAGGAUUCAUAUGUCCUUUAGGUCUUGGCUUAAAUGCCAUCUAUUCAGAGAAGCCUUCCCUGGCGACCUUAUCUGAGUCAAUCUUCCAUUGUUAUAUUGUUAUAUUGAUUUGCUUUGUUUCUUGCUACUUCUUCUACUUGACUCGGUAGAAGGCUCUGCAUAAUUGACCAAAAUAUAUACAGUGUUUUUCAGAGUGCUAGUCACCUAUUAGUACUGAAGAAUUAUUUGUUGAAUAACUUAAUGAUUUUUUUGCAGUUACACGAGUGUUGUUUUGAUUGACUGAAAAUAGAUUGCCUAAGAUGACAUGAAAGAUCAAAGGUGAAGAGUGGAAGAUAGCACCACUUUGGGUUAAAAGUUUACUUAAGUCAGCAACUCCUCAAGAAACAGCUACCAGCAUUCCUGGGACUAUUAUGCCCUGGUCUACUUGUAGCCUGUUUGUAUUCCAGCCUACUUUGGCACCUUGCCGUCUCUGCUUACCGACUUUCUGCAUAAGAGUGAAAUAGAAAGUGACUUGGAACCAUGUAUACCUAAAGUGUGACAUUUAAAAAAACGUCCUCAGAAAAACUAAUAUCCUGGUUAUUUUUGAAUGUGCUAAGAGACUCUUUUUUUUAAUCUUGUUUUUUUAUUUUGAAUAUAGAGCACAUUGAGGUUUAAAAUGGAAAAUUCUAUUAAAAAUAAAAGGCAUACGUUUACAUAUCUUACAAUUACCUCUGCUUCUGUCCCUCCCAUUCCUUAUGAG
rnacentral:lncRNA from 1 species